rnacentral:rRNA from 1 species
UACGGGGGGGGCAAGCGUUGUUCGGAAUUACUGGGCGUAAAGGGCUCGUAGGCGGCCAACUAAGUCAGACGUGAAAAUCCCUCGGCUUAACCGGGGAACUGCGUCUGAUACUGGAUGGCUUGAGAUUGGGAGAGGGAUGCGGAAUUCCAGGUGUAGCGGUGAAAUGCGUAGAUAUCUGGAGGAACACCGGUGGCGAAGGCGGCAUCCUGGACCAACACUGACGCUGAGGAGCGAAAGCCAGGGGAGCAAACGGG